rnacentral:rRNA from 1 species
UGAGGAAUAUUGGUCAAUGGGCGGGAGCCUGAACCAGCCAAGUAGCGUGCAGGAUGACGGCCCUAUGGGUUGUAAACUGCUUUUGUAUGGGGAUAAAGUCAAUCACGUGUGAUUGUUUGCAGGUACCAUACGAAUAAGGACCGGCUAAUUCCGUGCCAGCAGCCGCGGUAAUACGGAAGGUCCGGGCGUUAUCCGGAUUUAUUGGGUUUAAAGGGAGCGUAGGCCGGAGAUUAAGUGUGUUGUGAAAUGUAGACGCUCAACGUCUGACUUGCAGCGCAUACUGGUUUCCUUGAGUACGCACAACGUUGGCGGAAUUCGUCGUGUAGCGGUGAAAUGCUUAGAUAUGACGAAGAACUCCGAUUGCUAAGGCAGCUGACGGGAGCGCAACUGACGCUUAAGCUCGAAGGUGCGGGUAUCAAACAGGAUUAGAUACCCUGGUAGUCCGCACAGUAAACGAUGGAUGCCCGCUGUUGGUACCUGGUAUCAGCGGCUAAGCGAAAGCAUUAAGCAUCCCACCUGGGGAGUACGCCGGCACGG